rnacentral:rRNA from 1 species
GAUGAACGCUGGCGGCGUGCCUAAUACAUGCAAGUCGAGCGAACGGACGAGAAGCUUGCUUUUCUGAUGUUAGCGGCGGACGUGUGAGUAACACGUGUAUAACCUACCUAUAAGACUGGGAUAACUUCGGGAAACCGGAGCUAAUACCGUAUAAUAUUUUGAACCUCAUGGUUCAAAAGUGAAAUACGGUCUUGCUGUCACUUAUAGAUGGAUCCGCGCUGCAUUAGCUAGUUGGUAAGGUAACGGCUUACCAAGGCAACGAUGCAUAGCCGAACUGAGAGGGUGAUCGGCCACACUGGAACUGAGACACGGUCCAGACUACUACGGGAGGCAGCAGUAGGGAAUCUUCCGCAAUGGGCGAAAGCCUGACGGAGCAACGCCGAGUGAGUGAUGAAGGUCUUCGGAUCGUAAAACUCUGUUAUUAGGGAAGAACAUAUGUGUAAGUAACUGUGCACAUAUUGACGGUACCUAAUCAGAAAGCCACGGCUAACUACGUG